rnacentral:rRNA from 1 species
UACGAAGGGGGCUAGCGUUGUUCGGAAUUACUGGGCGUAAAGCGCACGUAGGCGGAUCAUUUAGUCAGGGGUGAAAUCCCGGGGCUCAACCUCGGAACUGCCUUUGAUACUGAUGGUCUCGAGUCCGAUAGAGGUGAGUGGAAUUCCUAGUGUAGAGGUGAAAUUCGUAGAUAUUAGGAAGAACACCAGUGGCGAAGGCGGCUCACUGGCCCGAUACUGACGCUGAGGUGCGAAAGCGUGGGGAGCAAACAGG